rnacentral:lncRNA from 1 species
GACUAGUCUUGAACUCUAACCUCCUGAGUAGCUGGGACUCCAAGGGCAUGUCAUCAUCAAACAAGCAUCAUCCAUGACUCCUGGUUAUAGUUCCAGUUAUGACAGCAGACUUUAGGAAAUCACAAGAUUUUCCAAAAGUCCUUAAUUUCCAUUGAGUAAUACUUGCAGUGUUAGAGAAACUGCUUCCACCCUGGACUACAGUAGUGGAAUAUCUAGACUACGAUAAACUGCUGAGGAAAAAAUUGAGGUGGAACUCAAGACUCCCAGAGAAUUUUCAAAAGACAUUAAGUGACAAGAGAUGAAAUCCAAAGAGUUGAUAAACAUAUAGAAAGAAUUCUCUAAUUUAGCCACUUCUCACAUGACUUUUACCACCCAAAUU